GCUGACAUAUUUCACUGUUCAAAGGUACAGCAGAAAUAAAGCCUGGUUGAGCUCCAUUUGUUUCAGUUUUGGAAAGGGAGCUGGGGAUAAGUAAAUAGCUUAAGAGGAACCUAAACAUCAUUAGUAAAAUCACCAGAAAUGUGAGAAAGAGGUCUGCACACCUCUGCACCCUCACAGCUUGUCACUCCCUUCCUCUCGAUUCACUCUCUAUUUUCACUUUUGCACUCUUUCUCACAUUAUUUUUUUCUUCUACUCAUUAAAAUGUCCAAUGCUUCUCAGUUUCCUUUCUUACUUAUGAAGGAAU
rnacentral:lncRNA from 1 species